rnacentral:rRNA from 1 species
AAUCAACGCUGGCGGCGUGCCUAACACAUGCAAGUCGAACGAGAAAGUGGAGCAAUCCAUGAGUAAAGUGGCGCACGGGUGAGUAACACGUGACUAACCUACCCUUGAGUGGGGGAUAACCUAGGGAAACCUGGGCUAAUACCGCAUAAUACCUACGGGUCAAAGGAGCAAUUCGCUUUAGGAGGGGGUCGCGGCAGAUUAGUUAGUUGGCGGGGUAAGUGGCCCGCCAAGACGAUGAUCNGUAUCCGGCCUGAGAGGGCGCACGGACACACUGGAACUGAAACACGGUCCAGACUCCUACGGGAGGCAGCAGUGGGGAAUUUUGCGCAAUGGGGGAAACCCGUGACGCAGCAACGCCGCGUGGAGGAUGAAGACCCUUGGGUCGUAAACUCCUUUCGAGUCGGGACGAUAAUGACGGUACGGAAGAAGAACG